rnacentral:rRNA from 1 species
AAUCCAUAGGUUAAUGAGGCGAACCGGGGGAACUGAAACAUCUAAGUACCCCGAGGAAAAGAAAUCAACCGAGAUUCCCCCAGUAGCGGCGAGCGAACGGGGAGGAGCCCAGAGCCUGAAUCAGCAUGUGUGUUAGUGGAAGCGUCUGGAAAGGCGCGCGAUACAGGGUGACAGCCCCGUACACAAAAGCGCAUGUGCUGUGAGCUCGAUGAGUAGGGCGGGACACGUGGUAUCCUGUCUGAAUAUGGGGGGACCAUCCUCCAAGGCUAAAUACUCCUGACUGACCGAUAGUGAACCAGUACCGUGAGGGAAAGGCGAAAAGAACCCCGGCGAGGGGAGUGAAAAAGAACCUGAAACCGUGUACGUACAAGCAGUGGGAGCACAGGUUUACCUGUGUGACUGCGUACCUUUUGUAUAAUGGGUCAGCGACUUAUAUUCUGUAGCAAGGUUAACCGCAUAGGGGAGCCGGAGGGAAACCGAGUCUUAAUUGGGCGUUAAGUUGCAGGGUAUAGACCCGAAACCCGGUGAUCUAGCCAUGGGCAGGUUGAAGGUUGGGUAACACUAACUGGAGGACCGAACCGACUAAUGUUGAAAAAUUAGCGGAUGACCUGUGGCUGGGGGUGAAAGGCCAAUCAAACCGGGAGAUAGCUGGUUCUCCCCGAAAGCUAUUUAGGUAGCGCCUCGUGAAUUCAUCUCCGGGGGUAGAGCACUGUUUCGGCUAGGGGGCCAUCCCGGCUUACCAACCCGAUGCAAACUGCGAAUACCGGAGAAUGUUAUCACGGGAGACACACGGCGGGUGCUAACGUCCGUCGUGAAGAGGGAAACAACCCAGACCGCCAGCUAAGGUCCCAAAGUCAUGGUUAAGUGGGAAACGAUGUGGGAAGGCCCAGACAGCCAGGAUGUUGGCUUAGAAGCAGCCAUCAUUUAAAGAAAGCGUAAUAGCUCACUGGUCGAGUCGGCCUGCGCGGAAGAUGUAACGGGGCUAAACCAUGCACCGAAGCUGCGGCAGCGACGCUUAUGCGUUCGUUGGGUAGGGGAGCGUUCUGUAAGCCUGUGAAGGUGGCCUGUGAGGGUUGCUGGAGGUAUCAGAAGUGCGAAUGCUGACAUAAGUAACGAUAAAGCGGGUGAAAAGCCCGCUCGCCGGAAGACCAAGGGUUCCUGUCCAACGUUAAUCGGGGCAGGGUGAGUCGACCCCUAAGGCGAGGCCGAAAGGCGUAGUCGAUGGGAAACGGGUUAAUAUUCCCGUACUUGGUGUUACUGCGAAGGGGGGACGGAGAAGGCUAUGUUGGCCGGGCGACGGUUGUCCCGGUUUAAGCGUGUAGGUGUGUGUUCCAGGUAAAUCCGGUUCACUUUAACACUGAGGCGUGAUGACGAGGCACUACGGUGCUGAAGCAACAAAUGCCCUGCUUCCAGGAAAAGCCUCUAAGCAUCAGGUAACAUCAAAUCGUACCCCAAACCGACACAGGUGGUCAGGUAGAGAAUACCAAGGCGCUUGAGAGAACUCGGGUGAAGGAACUAGGCAAAAUGGUGCCGUAACUUCGGGAGAAGGCACGCUGACAUGUAGGUGAAGUGAUUUACUCAUGGAGCUGAAGUCAGUCGAAGAUACCAGCUGGCUGCAACUGUUUAUUAAAAACACAGCACUGUGCAAACACGAAAGUGGACGUAUACGGUGUGACGCCUGCCCGGUGCCGGAAGGUUAAUUGAUGGGGUCAGCGCAAGCGAAGCUCCUGAUCGAAGCCCCGGUAAACGGCGGCCGUAACUAUAACGGUCCUAAGGUAGCGAAAUUCCUUGUCGGGUAAGUUCCGACCUGCACGAAUGGCGUAAUGAUGGCCAGGCUGUCUCCACCCGAGACUCAGUGAAAUUGAACUCGCUGUGAAGAUGCAGUGUACCCGCGGCAAGACGGAAAGACCCCGUGAACCUUUACUAUAGCUUGACACUGAACAUUGAGCCUUGAUGUGUAGGAUAGGUGGGAGGCUUUGAAGUGUGGACGCCAGUCUGCAUGGAGCCGACCUUGAAAUACCACCCUUUAAUGUUUGAUGUUCUAACGUGGACCCGUUACCCGGGUUGCGGACAGUGUCUGGUGGGUAGUUUGACUGGGGCGGUCUCCUCCUAAAGAGUAACGGAGGAGCACGAAGGUUGGCUAAUCCUGGUCGGACAUCAGGAGGUUAGUGCAAUGGCAUAAGCCAGCUUGACUGCGAGCGUGACGGCGCGAGCAGGUGCGAAAGCAGGUCAUAGUGAUCCGGUGGUUCUGAAUGGAAGGGCCAUCGCUCAACGGAUAAAAGGUACUCCGGGGAUAACAGGCUGAUACCGCCCAAGAGUUCAUAUCGACGGCGGUGUUUGGCACCUCGAUGUCGGCUCAUCACAUCCUGGGGCUGAAGUAGGUCCCAAGGGUAUGGCUGUUCGCCAUUUAAAGUGGUACGCGAGCUGGGUUUAGAACGUCGUGAGACAGUUCGGUCCCUAUCUGCCGUGGGCGCUGGAGAACUGAGGGGGGCUGCUCCUAGUACGAGAGGACCGGAGUGGACGCAUCACUGGUGUUCGGGUUGUCAUGCCAAUGGCACUGCCCGGUAGCUAAAUGCGGAAGAGAUAAGUGCUGAAAGCAUCUAAGCACGAAACUUGCCCCGA